AGUUGAUGAUUUUUGACUUAAAUUAGGUUAAAGUGCCGUCUGCUGCUGCAUAUACACCCAGAAAAUAUCUAUACUUUGCAGGCAAUGUUAAAAUGAUCAUUUCGUCUAACGGUACAUCUACGAAAGUUACAAUCACGGCUGAAUAACGAACACAGAAAUGAUCUAAUUUGCCGACCUCACAACAAGCCUCUGCAAUUCAAAUGAACCUCCAGUUUUCUACCUGGAAGUGGCUUUUGUUGUUAGCACAUGAUUUGGUCUGUAGUCACUCAACAAGCAGCCAGCAGGCAGAACCAGGACUCACAACAGCAACCACCAACCAAACAGCAGCGACUGGCUAAUAAAGAGUAAAUAAAUAAAUAAAUAAAUCACUCCAGUUGAGCUGCUGUCCCAACAAAUGCACUGCUGCUGGGUAUUGGUGCAUUGCACUAGUUACAUUUUGGUUGAUGUAAAUGGUCAAAAGUGAUGACCUCUGACCUUUUAAAAUGCAGAAGCAUCAGGUACUGUGGGUUCGGCUCGGCUCGGCUCCUGCUGGCUGAGUGGACGGUUAGAAACCACAUGUUUGUGUUUCAGACGGACGGCAGCUGAAUGUAAAUGCAGCUUCAGACACAAACUAACCAGCAUCACAGAGAAACCACCACUUCACAGUAACUACCAGCAGCUGGCAUCAACGCUCACAGCGUAGAUAAAGUGCUGCUCCCUGUCACGAGAGAAAAAUGUCCCUUUUGUCCCCUCUCCCAGACACAGCAACAAGACAAUCUGAAAACAUCGGCUGUCACUCAAAACUGACAUUUUGCAUUCAAGGAUUCACAACAAACAUGCGUGGGUCAUUCCUCUAGAUCUUCGUUUCAGUGCGGAGUCACACUAAACACUGUUUCAGAGGCUUUUCCACCCUGACAAGAAUAAAACUGGGGAACGCUUCAUAUUUGGAAUUAUUUGGUAUUAAAAUGUCCAGGUUCAAUUUACAGAUAUUGACUAUUAUUAUG